AGAAGGGUGGCCGAGUGGUUUAAGGCGCACGCCUGGAAAGCGUGUUGGCGGCAACGCCUCGAGGGUUCGAAUCCCUUCCCUUCUG
rnacentral:tRNA from 1 species